UAUUACUCGAUGGUGCAUUAUUCUAGUCGUACUAUUUAUUGUGAGGGUGGGGCUAAAAAUCCACUAAAGGGCACAUCGUUGAAGUUUCUUGUUGAUGCGCGAAAUGCCAGUUUUGUGUGUGAGCAGGGAGUAAAGAGGUUAGGGUAUUAUGUAACGGCAUAUAUAAGACUCCCUAGUUUCGCGGAGGCUUAUAAAUAAAUUUAAUGUAAUCUUUUAGAUUUAUUUUAAGUAUAACCUAUGUUGAGUGCCAAGACACAAAAUACAUAGUGUAGCCUGUCUCGAGUGAUAAUAUUGGGAUUAACUUUGUGGGAAUUAAUGGUUUGGCCAAAUUGUUAAUUUUUUAGUUAUGAAACUAUUAUUGCAAAAAAGACUAACAAUAAUUUAAGUAUGCCAAGGAAAACUUCUAGAAUGUUUGCUUUAUCAAAAAGCAUGGAAGUCUAUGGAUUAAGGUACGGAUUUAAGUGGUGAUCUAGUUUCUGCAUACUGCUUAUAAACAUUUAGUAGUAUAAGAUAUUUUCUUUAAACGGAAACGGCUAAAUAGUAAUGUUUAGUAGAAAAUAGAGAAAUUCUUCUAGACCUAAACCGUAAAAUUUACUUAGGCUUUUACCAUCUAACUUUUUAU
rnacentral:sRNA from 1 species